AGACACAGGCUCCAGGCUCUGAGCUGUCAACCAAGAGCCCAAUGCGGGGCUGGAACUCACAAACUGCAAGAUGAUGACCUAAGCUGAAGACGGACGCUUAACCCACUGAGCCACCCAGGCAUCCUUCCAUUUGAUGCUUCAAAGCCAAGCUACAGCUGGUACAGAUGACAUGGAAAAGGUGAGAAUUUCUUGGAGCAGGUUGUCUUUUCCAAAAAUGGCCACAUUAAUAUUCCAGUCCCACACCUUCCUGCAGAACCUGCGUAGAGAGAGAAGUACAAUCUAAUUUUCCUCUCCUUGGACCUGGGUGAUGCUUUGUGACCCACCCCCACCUCCACCGCGGACAAGAAUAUGGAGAAGUGAUGGUGUAGGGUUUCUAAGGUUAGGUCAUAGAAGCUGAUAUAGCUUCCACCUGGCUCUGUUUUGGGACACUUACCUUGGAGAGGCAAAUGACCCCCAUUGAACUGCAGUCCCAGCCAACAGCCAGCAUCCCCUGUCAACACAGGCAUGCCCCUUCAGAGAAUUCUACUCGGAGCCUUCCAGUCACCCCACCUGAUGCCAAAGAGAAGAGACACAAUGUGCCCACCAUGUCCCACCAAAAUUGCAAACCUGUGAGCAAAAUAAAUAUCGUCAUUAGCUUAAGCGACUGUUUCGGGGUGACUUGUUCUGCAGCAAAUUGAAUGCUUAUCUUCUGUGAAUAGUUUAAGUCACUUUUCACCAGGAAAACAAUUCAACGGUCAUUUAUCAGGGAUUCACAUAUUGUGAUAUGGGACUUGGAAUAACGGUCUUACAUCCACUAUGUGGUCACAUCUGGCCAGCAUCAUGUGAAAGCCAUGCUUGGGCACUGUAAAUUCUUUUUCUAAAGGUUAUAAAAUACAUACUUC